UUCCAUACAUCAUCUGUUCCCUCAAAAAUCCACAUCAGCUUCGGUAGUUACACUUCUCAAAAUUCUCACGUUGCACUUACUAACUCUCCUCUUUCUCUUCCAAAACGGUUUCUCCUCUUCUUUCAAAACCGUUUCCAGAUCAUUUUCUCUUUCACACUCAGGUCUCUCCAUCUUUUAGAACGAAUCUCCUCCCUCUCUCUCCAAGCCAAAACGGAAGCGUCUGCACUCCUUCUCCGGCGAACUACUCGCCUUUUCUGUUCCGAUUCAUCUCAAGAACAAGCAGAAAGAAGAGAUUUUCAAGAAAAUGGAAGAGGAGAAAUCCAGAAAGGGUCCCAAACCCGGGUGGAUAUCGAUAGAAUCGUCACCGAUACAAUAGAAGUUAAGUUGAUUUUCAUUUCUUAAUUUACAAUAUCUUUCAACUUUGAUUUUGAUUUAGUUUUCAAACUUUCAGGUUUCAUGGUGUUGGCUCACGCGGAAGAGGAAAGAUCCAUCGCCGAUACAGUUUCUGAUGAUGCUUCGGUGUUGGUUGUGGUGGACGGCGAUUAAUAUUCUAAAAGAGGUUCGAUGAUGAAGCACAAGUUUGCUUGGCCAUAAAAAAGAAAGGAUGGCAAUGAGAGAGAUUGAUCGGUUCUAUUUAAUAUUUUGAUUUUGUUUAUGCUUUGAAUUUAAGGUGGCUGUUCGUUUUGAUUUGGGUUUCUAAUGUUGUCUCAGGAGGGGAAAAGUACGAGAAUGGUAUAACAUGGUAUAUCUUGCCAUCAUUUCAGUAUUUGGAUGGGCUUAUAGCUUGCCACUUACAUUCAGCAUUCAGGAUUUUGCGUAUCUUUAUGAUCCAAACAAUGAGAUUGCUGGAGCGUCAUUCGUGAAGCUGAAUCUUCUUCCAUCAUCACCAAUGCAAUCUAAUUUAUUCCGCCUUAAUUGCAUUCUCUUUAGGUACCUUUUCAUUCAAUUUUCAAUCAUGACUUUCAAUCAUCGGUUGAUUUCAUUUUAUGCAGGAGGCUCUCAGGAUAUGAAGUCUGUUGGAAUGCAGUAUCUUGAAGUUGUUCGUAAGCUUAAGGAAUGGGGGUUUCAACCUAAAAGGAGUAUUCAUUUGGCUUUUUCUCCUAAUGAGGAGAUUGGUGGACAUGAUGAUGCUGAGAAGUUCUCUCUUUCUGGAGUUUUUCAGGAUUUCUAUGUUGGGCUUCCUUCUCCGGACGACCAUUACAGGGCAUUCUAUGCAGAGAGGAGUCCGUGGUGGUUGGUGAUCAAGGCUAUUGGGAUUCCUGGACAUGGAGCCAAACUUUAUGAUAACUCUGCUAUGGAGAAUCUUUUGAAGAGUAUUGAGACCAUCCAAAGGUAUCGUGCCUCGCAGUUCGACUUGAUAAACACCGGCUUGAAGGCUCUUGGUCAGGGAAGUAUUUUCUAUUAACCCGGUCUUUUUGAAAGCUGGAACUCCAUCACCAAUAGUAAGUCAAUCAUGGUUGUGGACAACUAUUUAAACCUUUAUGUAAUACAUAAGAUUCAUCGUUCCAUGAAUAGAAUAGAAUCAAAAAUAUAAUCUUGCUCAACAUUUUUUUCACAUUGUAGAGGAGUCUGCCUGCCAACUAUGCUAUGCUUUUGAAAUGACACUUCAUUUCACAUAUUUGUGUGUUAGCGGUGUUAAGAAAUUCCAGCAAUUGUCAAGGUUGAAUUCCCCCUAAUGAUUAUACUUUUGCUCUGUACCAGGGUUUUGUCAUGAAUUUGCAUCAAUUUGAAGCAGAAGCGGGAUUUGAUAUUAGAGUGCCACCAACUGCGGAUACAAAAUCACUGGAGAGGCGAAUUGCCGAAGAGUGGGCGCCUACUUGGCGUAAUAUGAAAUUAUUGAUAUGUGUGAU